AUCUGGGCGGCGGAAUUCAGGAUGGCUGGCGUGCCCUCGCGGCGCGCCGGUCGUUUGAUAUUUCCGUCGCCAGUAAAGACGUCGCGACCUGUUCGCGGUCGGUCCUUGCUCAGAGGAGCCGCGUUCGAGUUCGUUGUGUGCGCGUUUCGGCGUGUCACACGGCGAAGGCGCGGAUUUCUGGCUGGCCGUCGGACAGUACGCUUAACGGUGUCCGGUGUCGUCUUGUACGCGCACCGGUACCGGUCAGCGACGAAUUCUUCGGGCCUCUUUCCGACCCGUCUUGAAACACGGACCAAGGAGUCUAACAUGCGCGCGAGUCGCGGGGUGUCGAGCGUACUUCGGUACGUUCGUUACGUUGCGAAACCCGUACAUGUCGAAGGCGUAAUGAAAGUGAAUGGGGAAGAUGGUGUUCCGAGUACACGUUCCGCGAUCGUCGGUAUCGCGGCCGGACACCCGCAUUCCCGGGGCGUCUCAACGGCCCGCCGCUGAUGCGGACAGUCGUCUCUCGGGGCGGCUGUCGGUCGGCGGUGAACCGA
rnacentral:rRNA from 1 species